AUGUGGCCAUCCACCGAGUUGGAGUACAAUGUUAAGCUCACAGUGGAGGUGAAAGCAGGAGUGCAUGUUCUCCACAGGCGAGACAGGAGCCCCUUUUUCCUGGUGAAGUUCACUCCAGCGCCGCCACCUUACGGCAAUGCCGCCUCAGUGUUGUGCGUAGAUCCUGAUGCCGCCGCCACCACGGAGAAGGGGCGCAAGUUCAGGUGCCAACUUGGCUCGAGCAACGUCGACCUGGAUUGGCAGCAAUAUUCGCGUUUCCAGGUUAGGAGCACCACCCUCUCCGACGGGUGGCCACCGGCGGAGGACGGCGGUACCUUAUAUGUCGCGCCCAGCACCGACAGCAUUACUGUCAGUAUCACGAAGAUAAUGCGUGACACCCGUGGGAAUGAGAUCCAGCUGACGCCCAUCCAUAUGAGACAAAGUACACUUCAUCAGUGCUUUGAAUCCCGUGGUUCAUGCUAG
rnacentral:rRNA from 1 species